GCUGCAUCUGCAGGUCAUAUCCUACUUCAGACCUCAGUCAAUUCUAUAAAGCUAUUCACAAAUUCUCAUUAAGGCAACGAACAGAGUAUACCCUCUACUUGCCACCAGAACUAGACUAUUGACAUUCCCUUUCCGGCUAAUUUAACUUCGGCAAAGAAACCAUACUUUUGAUGAAUCCCCAUGGUGACUCUGCUAGGUAGGCUUCCUGCCUUUGAAGGGAAAGGUCAGGUGUUCAAAACCCCUGCUGGCAGACCAUUGGGUGUAUUACGCAUGGUGUCCUGGUAGUGGGUCCUGGGCUAGCGUCACCUGGGGGUUUACGUGGCGGCUGUCGGCCAAAGCGGUUCCUCCGACAAAAAAAAAAAAAAAAAACUCGAGAACUCGGCUCAUACCUGGCCUAUCCCGAUUAUGAUGGCUAGUGAACAUACACGCAAUGCCGAAGUACUCCUCCACCCUCGCUUCGACCAGGCCAUCCCUUGAAACGGCCGGAUCGACCAUCUCCAUCUGCCGGUUCUCAUCCACCAUGUUCCGAGCCCAAACAGUCAUCUCGACCUCCUCUCCCUUAUCCACCACCGAUAAAUCAGGCCUCCGACCCGUGGUGAUCUCCACCAUCAGAACACCAAAGCUAUACACAUCGGCCUUCACGGUCACCGCCAACCCUUCCUUAUACUCUGGCGGCGCAUACCCCAUCGUCCCGGCAAAUUGCGUGGACACAUGGGAUCGGGAGUCCUUAAUCAUCCUUGCAAGCCCGAAAUCUGCAAUGUGCGGCUCGAAUUCGGCGUCCAACAGCACGUCACUCGCCUUGAUGCCUCUGUGAAUGAUCGGCAUUGGCAAUCCGUGCAUGUACGCUAAUCCAGUGGCCACGCCCCUGAUUAUCUUCAUCCCAGUGUCCCAGGACAAGGGCGGCCUCUCGACCGAGUGCCUUGACCACGAGAUGUCACCGUUCUCGGACGACGACGUGGUGUCAUACAGCCACUGGUCGAGGCUUCCCUUCUCUACGAACCCAUAGACCAAGACCCUAUCCGAAUUCGACAUCCAGUAACCGAGGAGUUUGACAAUGUUCGGGUGGUGAAGCUUACCUAAGGCUUCCAUCUCGGCCCUGAACUCCUGGAACCCCUUGAAGGCGUUGGGCUCGAGCUUCUUGAUGGCAACGGUGAGGCCGUUGGCGAGGCGGCCCUUGUAGACGAGGCUGAAGUUGAUAUUGCUAGUAUAAGCACCUAGAGGGAGGUGAAUAGGUGUAAAAAUAAUUUCUCGAGAUAUGAAAGCAAUACUAGGCAAACAAUAGAAAUGAAGUUCUCCGAAACAGAUUAUGAUCAAAGUAAAUAGAGAGUAGGGAAGAGAAAAUUGAACACAAGGUUUAUAGUGGUUCGGCUUAUUCCAAGCCUACGUCCACUCUUCUGCACUGAUAGCCCACCGACUAGAUUUCACUAUGAACAAAAGAGAUGUUAUAGCAAUACUUUUCCUUGAUUCCACAAUGUAGAUACUCUACCACACUUCCUCAAGGUAUCUCAAAAUAUAGACUCUCUUUUGCGUACAAGAUUUCACUCAGUAAAUGAAUUGACUAAAAAUCAAGGAGUUUCAGACUUUGGAAUUCUUCUAUCGUGCACACUCUCGAACAACUGAAACGUCUUCCUUUUAUACUCCUUUGCGCCAUCAUACCCGUUGGUACUUACCAAAUGAAUUCUUUCAAUCUUCCUGUUGGAUAGAAUCAAUUAGGAAGAUCAUUCGAGCUAUUAAAGGAACAUGUCGAUAACCUAUCAAUCCUGCUUGCCCAUACAAUCAGGAUCUUGGUUUCCAUUAAUAGAACAUUCCAAGAAUACUUUGCUAAUCAUCGGAUUCUUAAUCAAUCUUGAUUCGAAUAAAGGAAUCUGUUAUGUCAUAUCUAGCCAAGAGAUCUUCUCUAGUAGAUAAGGCCAAAUCCUUAAUGAAGCACUCAGUUCUAAAUAGCAUUUCUUCAACGGAUUAGAAACUGUCAAUGAGAAUAGACUUUGAGUCUUGAGUCUAGUAGUCCGGAGGUCUUCAGACUUUAAUAGUAGAGUCUGCAAAUCUUUAGACUAGACUGAUAGAAAAGUUUUGUCAACUUCAAAAUAUUCCAGAAGGAUUUAUCCAACAGAAGCUGCUGUCGCCGAUGAUCAACUGGUGGUGGAAGUUCUCAGUGGCCGUCUGAAGCUCGGCCAUGGAGAUCUAGAGCUUGGGGUCGAAGGAGGCGUUCUCGGCGCCGGCGAUGAACGAAAGCUCCUCCUCCUCCGAGUUCGAUAUCGUCUUCCGCCUGCGCCAAUUGUAGGUGAUGGCGAGGCAGACCAAGAAGAGGGAGAUGCCGACGAGGCUCGCGACUGCAACGACGAUUGCUUGGAUAUUGGAGUUCAUGUCAGAGAGAGAGAGAGAGAGAGUGAGUGAGUUUGGGCGUUUAGCUGGCUAAGGAAGGUGGGUGCGAGGAAGAGGAGAGAGAAGUCGACUGAGAAUAUAUAUAGAGAGAGAGAGGAGGUGGCAGAAGAAGAAGACCACGACGACGAGGACGACGACUGAGGAGAGGCGAGACGAUCUUUAUUUAUGCCGUAAAAAAAAAAAACCGGGGGAUUUGCUUUUAGGAAAAUGAUGAGUCAUUCUCGGUCAGUGAUCAACUUAGUCAACGGUGUUCUGCUUCUACUGCACGUUCGAUUAUUGAAGGUGCAACUUUCUUUUUUAAUUGUCACGAAUGUACAUUUCUGAUAAAUUUAUCUUAAUUUAAUUUUUUAAAUCAAUAAUCUUAAAUUAGUCUAUUUAUAAUAGAUUUACCGCAGACUCAUUUUUCUGUAAAAAUUUUUAAAUCGAUAUACUUAUGAUAAAUUUAUCAUAGAUUUUUUUUUCACUAUAAAAAAUUAUAAAUCAAUGCAUUUAUGAUAAAUUUAUCUUCAUUUAGUUUCGAUUAAAUUUUUACUGUUAAAUUUAUUGACAUGGAUGAUUCAAAGUGAUGUGAUAUGAGCAAAUAUUAUGAAAAACCCCAAAUUGAUAAGUUAAAUAUGACUCUUUUGAUGACCAAAUUUUUCCCCAAUCCCAUGAUCAUGUCUCCUGCUACAAGUGAUAUCUGAAACUAUCGUUAUCAGAGCUUUGACGAUCGAGUCAUAGUUUUGGUAAUGAGAUAGAACUUUUAAGGGCUCUUUCAAUGGCAACCCGUGUAACAUGAUUAAAUAUGCAUCGACCAUCAACGAAAUAUAAUCAUAUCAAAUUUAGGACAAUAGUCAUGUCUAAAGAAAUAUCACCGGUUCAAAAUCUUAAUAAUUGAUAACAUGGAAAGCAAAUAAGUUUUUCGCUGAUUAUAUCUGAAACGGUGUACUUAUAGAUUGCGUCGCCAUUGACUCAUUAAUUCGAAGAGGCCAUAUAGGUCAAUCUUGUGUCUGCUGAGUUGGUCGUGAGUACCGUACGAUUAUUAAUCACGUCUCACAGGCUGGACACAAACACAAUUAAUCCCUAGCCAUGUCAGCUAAUUUUGGGUCGUGCCAGAAAUCACUCUCUCUAAAGUGACCCGGCGGCUGCUCAUGCGGUUGCCGUCUAGCUUACUGCAUAUAGGUCGAAUUUAUUGAAGAGACGCGAGUUGGGAAAUUGCACCACACUUGCGUUGCAAAUUCCACUUUGGUUGGAAAUCAAGCUGGCUUCGGGCUCUCGCGCUGCUGAUCCGAAGUUAGAAAGCUGUGCAAUCUAAUCUGAAAUUCCACCUUGAGUUUAUGAAAUUAUUUUUUAAUACUAGUCUUCGAUCUCAAGGUUUUACAUGCUAGGUGGACCUCUCUCGCAAGGUUUUCAUCCAAGAGACCGUGGAGUUUAAAUUUUUCUUAAAACACCAGUCAUGGUAAGAGUGUCAGAAUCAAACUAAAAUUUCUUGCAUUUGUGGUUCGAUUCGGAUAAUGGUUAAAGCCACAUUUCGGGUUUGAUUCAAAUAAUGGUAAAAAACGCAUUUCUUUUUACCAAUUUGGUUCGAUUAACCGAACCAAAUGAUAAAAUAUAAAAUCCAUGCUUAUAGAUAUAAUCGUUGGAAGCCCUGUCAAUACUCUCUCUCUCUCUCUCUCGUCUUCUCCUGCUCGAGUUCAAGACAAACGGAAUUGCAUUGGUCUCUUCAAAGCAACACCACCAGCAGGUCCCCUAUUGCCGGGGAUGGCGACGGCGCCGACGACUAGGUUUUGGACCCAAAACCCACAAAUGAAGCGACUCACUUAUUACCUUCUGCACAUAACUCUAGGAGAUUGAAGGAUUCGGAGAGUUCACCUCGGCUUUGAGGAUUUCAGGUGAGUAGUUCUUUUGAAUCAAACUAGGAUCUGCGAUAUGGGAGCUCUGUUUUGUGUAUUCUCUCAGAUCUGCGAUCAUCUGAAGAAACCCCUUUUUUUGCCUUUAUUUGCAACCUUUGCUGAUGACGGGCUGUGCUUUUGGCUUAGCUAUCUCGACUUUGCUUCAAAACCAAAGGGUCCCUCUUUCUUCUGUUGCCUUCUUCCUUUCUGGUACUCCGGUGUUGUUUGAUAACGCUUUUUUGAAUCGACACAUCAUUUAACCAACCCGCUCACCCAUCAUCAUGUCAGUGAGUUUAUAACUCUGUCAUGUGUGCGUAUGAUACUCGAAAGACUUUACCCUUUUUUUCUUUCUCUAUUCUUCAUUAAUCGUGGACAUAACAUUAACCGUCUCACAAUUCUGGUACUGCCUCUCCACUUUUGAAAAUUAUAGUUUAUUCUUGGAAAUCAUGCUUACACCAAAGAAAUUCAAUAUGAGACAGACAAAGUGAAAGUGAAGAUGCUUUUUUUUUUUUCCAAAUUUAGAUGGUACGUAAUGUCAAUUACAAAAUUGUUAAAAUGCAAAGUGUAAUCAAUGAAAAAUAAAAUGCCGUUUGGCAAAAUUUUGAAGUUGCUUUUGUCGAGAUGCAAUUGCAUCUCUAAAUCUCUCUAAAGGCCUUUGACUCAAGGGAGGUCUGGAAAUAUUUUGAAAUGCAAAUAGACUAUUUUUUUGUUACGAAAUCGUACGUCGAUUCCAGAAAAAUAACGCUUGCAAACAAUUCACCAGACAGAAUAUAAUAAUAAAAUAACAGAAUCAGAUGAACACACCAGAAAAUUUGUUAUCGAAGUUCACCCAAACCUGGGCUACGUCUCCGCGCAGAGGCACUCUGCGAAUCCACUAAACUUUAGAAAAAGUUGGAAUACAAUAAUGAUCUUCUCUCAAAAUCAGAGCACAAAGAGAUUGAGAACCCUCAUCAAGAAAAAAAUCACUUUUUUCUUCUCUCUUUUUCUUGCUCCUCUAUUUCCUUUUUCUGCCUCUUGACGGCUAGGGUUUUGCCAUCGCUAACAUAAAGAUAUCACUUUUAACCUAAAAGGAAAUCUAAUAGAAAAGACAAAAAAAACCCCUAAAAACAAAUAAUUGACUUCAUCUAUAACAUUUUUUUCCCUGCCAACUUUACUCUCGCUCAACUUCAGAAUUUUGCCUUCAAAAAUACUAAUUUUACCUUUGUCUAACAAGUAGUUGGUGUGCCACUAACCUGCCACCGACGAGUGGCCAGCGAGCUACCGCCGCCCUCACUUGAGGUCGAGCGACCUUAGGUGAGGUUGACCAACAGCCGAUUUGGUUUGCUGGUAACGAUUAAGUUUCACUAGCAAAUAGUUUUAUCUUUUUUUAUUAAAACAAUUAGCAAAAAAUCCUUUAUCAAGUAUAAUCUUUAGCAAAUAAUAUUUUCAUCAAAGUUGUUUUUCAAUGUGUUUUAAAAUACAUUUUAUCAAACACCAAUAGCAUUUCGUGAAAUCGUUUUCAGUUCCCAUAGAUAUUCAUCAAAAUCGAAUCAAACGCACCCCAAAACUCUGAAGGGCUUGGGGGCGUAAGCUUAGAGUCGCCGGUCACCAUCGCAUUGGUCAAUGCCUGCAACUUCUGUUGAAGUGGUCUUCUUCUUCUUUAAUUGUUGGCUCCAGAAUUCGCAUCCCUCCGGGACGUCCUUUAAUUAAUGCCGCGUGCUAGAGGACAAGGGGACAAAGGACUUUCGCUAUGCCUUUUUCCUUUUGUUUUCUCAUCUUACUUUUCACCUUUUUCCCUUUGAAUUUCGGUGCUUACCGCGUUCAUCUCAUCUUUCCUCACUUCAUAAUGGUAAAGGGCAGUCUUGCAAAUUCGUUCAUUAUGAUCUAACCUUUUAUUGGGCUCUUGGCUUGUUUGAGAUACGUUUGAUGCUGGGGGCAGGGGGACAUAUUUACGACCAAAAGCAAUAGCAUGUCAAAUUAACGUUUACGUAAGAAAUCUUCGUCAAACAUAGCCAGCUGAAAUUUGAAUUAAAGUCAAUCGAGUAGGUGUUUCAUUUAUAGCCUCAAUUGAAUUAAAAUAUGCUACUAAACACAUUUGGAAUUAGGCUACAUCUAAAAAAGUGGACAUUAUCCAUUUGCGAACUUACCUAAAAAUCAAUACAGGCGAUGGAUGUCCCGUGCUAAUGACUUAAUCGGUUAGAGUUGCGGUAAACUCUGCAGAGGAACGUGCAGCUUUGGGCCCCAAGCUGGGGUACCAUAAUCGCGUCCUUUUUAUUAGAAGCGGCUAAGUCGUAGAUUUUGCUGAUAUUCCUGUCCUUGCCCUUUUCGAAUGUCUAGACUGCCCAUGAGAUUUCCAAAUCCACAAAAGAAGGAAGGCCCACUAGAUUAGUGUUGAUCUCCAGCCUCGUCAAUCCUUUUUGCUCAGAAAAUCAGGUUUUUGAUUCAGGCAUGUCCCUUGUUGACUUAUGGGAUUUCAAGAACACUCCUCUUAGAUCAGUGCCAAUAUGGACAAAAGGGUUGGUAUCGAAAGGAUUCGCAUGUUUUGGGCGCAAUGAGCCCGAUCGCACAUCCUGCUCUUGAGAUCAGAUGGAUGUACCUGAAUUAGGUUCAUAUACUCUCGAAGCAAACAAUGAUGCCGUCCCUUGAGAAGACCUAAAUCCACUCGCCGGGAUGGCAAGGUCGGUUCCUCAUAAAUGUAGGGUCACAAAGACCAAAUAGCUCAUAUUCACACGCAUGUUUCGUGGGUUUAGCAAUUAGUCAAGAUGUGAUAAUCUCAUUGAACCGCCAUUCACUUCUAUUGAAUCAUUCGUAUAAAGAUACGCUUCGAGUUUCGUCACGUCACUCGAAUUCAUUUUUCCAAACGAAGUCAUGGUUUCAAAGAGAUGGUCACUACUCUCUAUCUGAAAGCAUCUACUCAACAUGGAGUGACCACGGAAGGAAACAUUUUUCCUUUAACAGAUUCAAGCCCGGAUUAGGAGGGAGAGAUCAAAAUGGCUUCGAGAAAAGACAUCCUUGGUGAGAUUCGCGGGGACAUGCAUAUAAUAGGAUCGGAAUAAGUAUGAUACGGUCUAAGCGAUAUCCUCAAUCUCGAUUUUUUAUUCAAUAAUCAUAGAUGAACCAACAAAAUCUAACUCGGCAUCAAUCCUUUUUGUUUCCGAAAUAUUCGAUGAGGAUGUUCCUGGGGAAACAUAUUGGAGAUGAGAUUGACAUGAUGCAGACCAAGAAGAUCCUUGCAUCAGCCUGUGAAAAUAGCAAAGAAACUAAGACUCUCUGUUUCAAUCAAUCUCAAUUAGGAGGCCGUCAUUCCAGCAAAAACCCGGAUUCACGACAGCAUCAAGUGUAACCAACAGAGUUUUGCAAAAGCCACAAAAUCUAUAUAGAUACGAUAUCAUAAUGUCUAUCUACUCACAAGCUUAACCUUGAUUCCUUCUCUUUCUGGGUGAUUCAACUUUGGCGCAGAAACCAUACCUUCGAUGAAUUCCGCCAUUUUCAUCCGAAUGUAGGCUCCAACAACUCCAGAACUCGGCUCAUACUGGGCCUUUCCUUUGCAUCCUCGCUAGUGCACAUACAUGCAAUGCUGAAGCACUCCUCCACCGUGGCUUUCACCAGGCCAUCCCUGGAAACGGCCGGAUCGAUCAUCUCCAUCUGCCGGUUCUCAGCCACCAUGUGCCGAGCCCACACGGUCAGCCCGACCUCCCUUCCCCUAUCCACCACCAGUGGUAAAUUGGGCCUCCGACCGGUCGCAAUCUCCAGCAUCAGAAUACCAAAGCUAUACACAUCGCCCUUCACAGUGGCCGCCGUGAACCCUUCCUUAUACUCUGGCGGUAUAUACCCCAUCGUCCCGGCAAGUUGCGUGGACACAUGAGAUCGCGAGUCCUUAAUCAUCCUAGCAAACCCGAAAUCUGCGAUGUGCGCCUCGAAAUCGGCGUCCAAUAGCACGUCACUCGCCUUGAUGUCUCGGUGAAUGAUGGGCAUCGGCAAUCCGUGCAUAUACGCCAAUCCACUGGCCACGCCCUUGAUUAUCUUCAUCCUAGUGUCCCAGGGCAGGGGCAGCCUCUCGGGCGAGUUCCUCGACCACGAAAGCUCGCUGUUCUCCGACGUGGUGUCGUACAGCCACUGGUCGAGGCUCCCCUUCUCAAUGAACUCGUAGACCAAAACCCUAUCCGAAUUCAACAUACAGUAGCCAAGAAUCUUGACGAUGUUGGGGUGCUGAAGCUUACCUAAGGUUUCCAUCUCGGCCCUGAACUCCUGGAACCCCUCGAAGGCGUCGGGCUCAAGCUUCUUGAUGGCAACGAUGAGGCCGUUGGCGAGGCGGCCCCUGUAGACGAGGCCGAAGCCGCCGUCGCCGAUGAUAUUCUUGGGGUGGAAAUUCUUGGUGGCCGUCCGGAGCUCGGCCAUGGAGAUCCGGAGCUUGGGGUCGAAGGAGGCACUCUCGCGGCCACGUUUCCGCUUGCGGCGGCUGCAGGUGAAGGCGAGGAAGAUGAAGAAGAGGGAGGCGCAGAUGAGGCCUGCGGCCGCGGCGAUGCCUAUUUGGAUGUUGCGGUUCAUGUCACAGAGAGAGAGAGAGAGAGAGAGAGAGAGAGAGAGAGAGAGUUAAGAGUUUGGGAGUUUAGUUAGACGAGGGAGGUGGGUGUGAGGAGGAGGAGAGAGAAGUCGACAGAGUAUAUGUAGAGAGAUAGAGAGAGAGGAGGUGGAAGAAGAAGACGACCGAGAAGACGCGGGAGGGUCUUUGUUUUUUCGCCGUAAACCGGGGAUUUGCUUCUAGAAAAAUGAGGAGAAAUUUCCGAUGGACCACCAACACUUUCCGAAAAAUUCGUAUCAUAUUGAACACUUAUUCAACACUUUCCCAUACAUUUCGACACUUAAGUCCACACGUGUUAGAAAAUUUGAGACCUGAUUAACUCUCCUGACACUCUCUCAUAUUCAAAUCUAGAAUUUCGACAUACGAGUUUGGAAUUCCAACACGUAAUUCCGACAUGCAAGGGUCAAUUUUAAAUUUUUUUAAUAAAUUAUGAGUCCAAAUGUAAGUAUGUAAACAAAUAAUAAAAAUAAUAAAGAGGAAAGAAAGAAAAACUUAAUAUUGUCUUCUCUUUCGACUCUCAUUUCCCGUGAUACACGGUUCAUCUCUCAAGUUUGUUUUUUUCUCUUCUCUUCCGACAUGUUCUGACAUACAAGUCUAAAAAUGUGGAUUGCUUAUUUUUUUUUCUUGAAGUUUUAUGAAUUAUUGAAAUGGAAUUGAAUUUGUCAAAUUGAAAUAAUGAAUGAUAUUAAUGAAUUAUGAGUUUUUGUUUUUAGUAUAUAUUCAUUCUAUGCUCUUUAUUUAUUUAUAUGUUAAUUUGAAUAAAAUAAUCACAAAAAAGAUAAUUUAUCAUAUAUAUACAUUUUAAUAUGCAUCCUAACGUAUUAGAAUUCUGCAUUUUUUAAUAAAUAACGUAUUGGUGUAUUGUGUCGUGUCAUGUCGUCAGUGUUAAUGUUACUUAGGUCAUUUCUCAGUUGGACUUUGAUGAACUUAGUCAACGGUGGUCUACUUCUACCGUACAUUCAAUUAUUGACAAUGCAAACUUUUUUUUUUCAUUAUUGUUAUUGUGAGAAAUCUUAUAUUGAUGUACAUGUGACAAAUUUAUCUCAAAUUAACUUUUUAAUCAUUAAAAAUCUUAAAUUAGUACAUUUAUGACAAAUUUACUUCAAACUCUUUUUUUUUUACCAUAAAAAUUUCCAAAUCGAUAUAUUUAUGACAAAUUUAUCAUAGACUCAUUUUGUUUACUAUAGAAAAUCAUAAAUCGAUAUAUUUGUGAUAAAUUCACCCUCCGUUACUUUUCGUCAAAUUUUACCGUUAAAUUUGCUGACAUGGAUGAUUCAAAGUGAUAUGAGCAGAUAAAAAAAAAAAAAACCCCAAACUGAUGAGUUAAACCUGACUCUUUUGAAGACAAAAUUUUUCCUUGAUCCGACGAUCAUGUCUUCCGCUACAACUGACAUUUGAAACCAACACUAACAGAGCUUGGACGAUGGAGUCGUAGUUUUGAUAAUGAGAUGGAACUUUUAAGGGCUCUUUCAAAACACGACAACUUGUGUAACACGAUUAAAUAGUGCAUCAACCAUCAACGAAAUAUAAUCAUGUCAAAUUUAGGACAAUAUUCGUGCUCGAAGAAAUAUCGCUGGUUUAAAAUCUUAAUAAUAGAUAACAUGGAAAACAAAUAGAUUUUUCACUAAUUAUAUGUGAAGGGGUGCACAUAGAGAUUGUGUCGCCACUGACUCAAUAAUUUGAACAGGCCAUAUAAGUCAGUCUUGUGUCUGAUGAAUUGAUUAUGAGUACGAUACGAUUAUUAAUCACAUCUCCCAGGCUGGACACGAACACAAUUAAUCCCUACCCAUGUCAGCUAAUUUCGGGUCGCGCCAGAAAUCGCUCUCUAAAGUGACCCGGCAGCUGCUCACGCGGUUGCCGUCUAGCUUACUGCAUAUGGGUCCAAUUAUUGAAGAGAUGCGAGUUGGGAAAUUGCACAACACUUGCGUUGCAAAUUCCACCUUUGGUUGGAAAUCAAGCUGGCUUCAGGCUCUCGUGCCGUUGGUCCGAAGUUAGAAAGUUGUGCAAUCUAAUCUGAAAUUCUACCUUGAUUUUUGAAAUUAUUUUUUAAUACUUGUCUUGGAUCUCGAAGUUUUACACGCUAGGUGGAUCUCUCUCGUAAGGUUUCCAUCCAAGAGAUCAUGGAGUCCGAAUUUUUCUUAAAACAAGUAGGGCUGUCACAAUCAAAUUAAAAUUUUGUUUAUUUUCGGUUUGAUUCGGAUAAUAGUAAAAACCACAUUUCCUUUCACCGAACCAAACCGAAUGAUAAAAUAUAAAAUCAUGCUUAUGGAUAUAGUCGUCGGAAGCCCUAUGAAUACUCUCUCUCUUCUUCUCCUGCUCGAGUCCAAGACGAACAAAGUUGUAUCGGUCUCUUCGAAGUAACACCAUCAGCAGGUCCCCUAUUGCCGGGGACAGCGACGGCACCGGCGCCAACCACUAGGUUUCCGACCCAAAGCCCACAAAUCAAGCGACCCACUUACUACCUUCUGCACAUAACUCUAGGAGAUUGAAGGAUUCGGAGAGUUCACCUCGACUUUGAGGAUUUCAGGUGAGUCAUUCUUUCGAAUCAAACUAGGACCUGCAAUAUGGGAGCUUUGUUUUGUGUAUUCUCCCAGAUCUGCGAUCGUUUGAAGAAAAUCCUUUGUUUCCUUUACUUGCAACCUUUGCUGAUGGCGGGCGAUGCUUUGGGUUUAGACGUCACGGGACUUUGCUUCAAAAUCAAAGGGUAGUGGAUGGAUAAAUUUAUGUUUGUUCGAUUUCUUUUUUUCAGACUAGAAAUCUAUUUAGUAACAUUAGCUAAUUUUCUUAUUUUCCAAAGCAAAUCAAGGUGUGGAUAGUAACAUUUUCAUUUCGAAUAAUAAUUUCUUUUCAGAAAUAGAUCUUUUCUAUUUCUACUCCUUAUAAUCAUUUCUGAGUAAAACAACGAGUUUGACAAUUAUACAAAAUUUAUAUUCUUGGAAUAAAAAAUAAUAGGAAUGCGUUUAGUACAAUCCAUAAAAAGAAUAAGAACACGUUUGAGUCGCCACCUCCGCAAUAGGCGACUAGUGGCGGCGAUCGUUGGCAACAGUGGCCGGCUGGCAGAUGGCAGCCCGAGGGGAGUGGCAAGGAAGAAGUAGAAAAGAAAAAGAGAAAAUAAAAAAAAAUUACCUAUUUUUAGAAAUUGUUCCCAAAAAUAAGAAACUACUUUUUUUACUCUUCAUUUAUGUUCUAAAUCUAUUCACAGGUUACUUUUUUAUUCCAAUGAAUAAAAAAAUUAAUUAACGUUAUCAAAUUAAUUUAUAUUAUUUUCUUGUUUCGGAGAGUAAAGAACAAAAGAAUAGAGGAACAGAAACGUUCCCAUGCGCUACCUUAGGCCGCAUUUGGUAACGCUCCCGGGAACAAGUGCUUAUGUUCUUUUGUUCCUAGGAUUGGGAACAAGUACUUCUGUUCUUUUGUUCCUAGGAGUAGAAAUAGAACAAAAACACGUUUUAUAAGUUUUUUUGUUCCUAGGUUCCUGGGAACAAAUUCGUAGAUUUGGAAUUGAAACAAGAAACAAAAAAAAAUUACUUCUUAUUUUCAUGAACAACUCAAAAAACAAGAAUUAAGCUUUUUUUUUCCUUUCCUUUUCUUCCUUUUCUUUUUUUUUCCUUACUCUUUCUCCUUUCUUCCCCUAGCCAGUCGCCGGCCUUGGUGCCAACCGGCUACCUCGCUAAAGCCUCACCAGCCCUCAACAAGGUUGCCCCAAGCUUGCCGGCCAUUGGCUCGAUCCCCCUAAGCCUCCCAUGGCUAGGGAGGCUCCCCUGAGCCUUGCCAUGGCUAGGCGAGACCCAACCUCACCUAGAUUUGGGCGAGGCCCCCCUCAGGCAGACCUUGCCGGCCCUUGUCUAGCCGAUUGCUAGCCGACAACCGAUUGGAGAAAGGAGAAGAAAAAGAAAAAAAGAAAAAAAAGAAGAAGAAAAAAGUAAUAAAUUUAUUAAGAAAUUAAAAGAAAUUCUAAUUCAUAAAAAUAUAUGGGAUCGUACCAAACGCAUUUUUUUCUCGAAAAUAGAAAUUUUGCGUGGUUACUAAACAUGUUGAAAUGCUCAGAAACUAUUCCCAAGAAUAGAAAUAGGAAAAAGUGUUUCUGAAAGAAAAUUGUUCCUUUACCAAAUGCAUCCUUAAUAGCUAGAUAAUAAAUUUGAAAAAGAAACAAAAACAUAAUUUUUGGUUUUUAGAAACGAUUUAUGAAACAAGACAUUUUCUUUUUUUUUUCUUUUCCUUUUCUUCUUCAUUUAGCCAGUCACUAGGCCUCAGAGAGGUUGACCUCACCUAGCCAUGGUUAGGUCGCCGACUAGAAAUGAAGAAGAAAGGAUGAAAAAAGAAAAGAAAAGAAUUUAGAAAAAUCUCAAAAAAUUAUUAAAAAAUUAAAAGAAAUCUUAUAUCACAAAAAAAUUUGAAGUUCGUACCAAAUACAUUCCUAUUCUUUUUUUAUUCCGAGAAUGGAAAUUUUGUGCAGUCAUCAAACGCGUUUAAAUGCUUUGAAACUUAUUGAGUGAAUAAAAAUAGAAAAAACUAUUUCUGAAAAAAAAAAAGUUUUCGGGAAACACAUCCUAAGUAUAUUUAUGUUCCUCCUUGUCCUAUCACUAAAGCGCGAAAGUAUAUGAGAUGAGUCAAAUAAACAAUCUAGAAAGAUUUAAAUUCGGGACUUUUUAUUAUGAUACGAUGUGAAAUUUUGUAAGACCAUUUUUAAUUGCUCUAAAAACUUAAGUCGUCAAAUUAAGCCAUCAUUUGAAUAUUAUAUUCAACGAAAAGGGCUUGCAAUUGCUGAGUACUGCAUAAUGGAAUUGCACCUGAUUUUCGGGAUCUCAUUAGGAAUGGAGUCGAUUGAACCUGGUCGCAUUCGAAAUCUAAAAGCUCUUGACAAACAAAAGCAAUCGAGACCAAUGCAGUUCAUGCAAACAAACGCCUCAAGCCUUUGAAUGAUCACAGUUCUCCGAAUUCAAAUUCCCAAGCAGUAGGCUCGCACGCAACGUCUUGCCAAGUGACACAAAUUUUGAGCUUCUGCUGAUUAAAUAUUCUGGACAUACUCAUAAACAGCUGAUGCAAUUUAUUAGACACUGCCACGGUCUAUAAACAAGCAAGCAAAAGGAGCAAAAGUCACACAUCCUAGCAAGACAAAGUUAACCCCGGCUGAUACAUACCCAAACUUAUAAGGGGUCACGUCAUUUCAAUUCAGCAUAGCUCUCCAGGUCCUCUUCCACCACGUACUUCAAGAGAUCGGGGUUCUCAGAAUUCCUGACCGAGCAGUUGGCUCGGAUUUCUCCUUUCGUCCCUGUCAACACACUGAGUUGUCCCAUUUUCGUCAUAGCUAGGACAAACUUCUCGAAGAACAAUUCCUGGUCCUCGGCGAAGCUAGUGACGAUGUCCCUCGUUGUGGGAUCCUCAUACAGAUCUUGGUCUGAGGUGAACAGGCCUUGGCGGUUCAUCAAAUCGACAAAGUACUUGUUGUCGAAUCGGUUGGGUGAUCGGAUGUCCAAGACCGUAGUGUUGGUGGAGUUUGUGGUGGGGCACACGCCCUUGAGAUCAUGGGCAAAGGUCUUCUCCAUGGUGGGGUCUUGGGUCGGGUAGAGCCGAUUCUCAAAGGCGGUGCAGUGCGCAAGCCCAAUGGUGUGGCCUCCAGAGAGGGCCACUACGUCGGUAGCGUCGAAGUUUUUCUUGGCUAGGGCGGAGAGAAUUUCACUGGCGUUCUCAGUUGGUGCAGGUAUAUUCUCUAUGACCACAUUUUCAGUCGCAGGCGUAAGUCCAUCCCGCCUUCCCAACGGCACAUCAUACUCAGGUCCGCCCGACUGCACACGACGACGAGAAUAACAGAAUUAGAAUCCAGAACUUGGAAAGCAUCUGUUGAUGCUCAUUGAUAUGAUGGGCAAUAGUAAUCAUAAUCGAGAAAACUUCGAUCAUGUAUAGGACAUGAAGCCAGCGGAGAACUUUGAUGUCUUCUUCGUGUGGAGGUGAUCAUUUGCAAGUCAACUCUCAUAAACUAGAAGCUAGUUGGGAGUAGAUUAUCAUUAAACAGAAUCGUCUACCUAGGUUGUCAUUUCAACUGCAAUUUCCAAGAACUUUGGAAGCACAUGCUUACCUGACCAUGUUGAAAGAGUCCAAAGACAUGUCAAGUUGCAGUAUUUUAUCCAUAAUCAUGAUCCCAAAAUUCAGAAUAAACCUCCGACUGGUUGGGAUCUUAAAAAAAUGGUGAUAACUACCGGUUAAAACUCAGAUAUAAACAACGACGAUGUCUCAGUUUUGACCAUUGAAAUUUGCUGUAUACUGAACUUUUUGGCUCAUAAUGACAGGUUUAAUUGUCCUGAGUUUCCAAGAUAAUGCUGCCGACUUAAAUGGACAUCCGCUACAUCUCACAAAACAUUCAGAACACGAACAGGAGGAAACUACAAGAAUCCAAAUAUAGUUUAACCACGCUUGGUUACAUCAGCGAGUCCACUUUCUCGUGAUUUAUAAUUCCUCUUACCAAGCAUCAUCGAACAUUACCAUUGAGAGAGCGAUAAAGUAUAAUUAUCAUCAUAACUAAUGAGUAUAAUCAAGCCUGAGCCUAAACAAGAGUGGUUAAACAACUAUUGUCUGUCACAUGGCCACAUGACGAGAUCAAAGUUCCAGUACCAUCUUGCGAAGGUCCACAUUCUGUUAGGUUUGGGGUAUUUUAUACAUCAACUUGAUUUCCAAAAACAGCAGAUUAAUGGGGAGUGGUUGAAUGUUUAACGGAGGGGGAACAUCCAAUCAGUGAAAGUUCUGUGUGAACGUGUAACUUACUAUAUGUUUGGUUAGUUCGAUAAUCCAAUUAAUCCCUAAAUAGAAAUCCAUUUAUCAACUUGAACAUAAGAACUAUUACAAUUAUCUAGGAAGCUAGCUAACUGACCAAUACUGUAUUCUGCUGUUGCUCUAUUUUGAAAGCUUAUGAUCAUAUUUGCCUUCCCAUUACCAAAUGCAAAAGCAUCAUUCAAAGCUGCAAAUUAGUAUGAUUUAUAGGGAUAAGCAUGUUCGGCAAGAAUCUGUACUUCUAUCAAAUUUCCGAUAGUAUGAUAAUCAGAAUCUGGCGAGUAUCAUAAUCAGAACUCUGUUUUGGUGCGUUACUCUCUAGUGAUGAUGGAAUGAUGGCUGAAGGGGGUUUACCAGGAAAACGGAAUCACGAGCGGCAAUGGCGGCGAUGUCGGCACAAGAGACUACUUGACCACAUUUCUUCUCCACGAGCUGACUGAGGUCAUCAAUGAUCUUGAAUGCUGUCCGUCUCAAGCUCCUGUUUGGUGGAGCGUCCUGCUCGCUCGGUUCAUUUGCCGAUCCAUCCAGCAACACCGAACCAUCGCAUCCCUGCAUCACUCAUCAGAUCUUAAAAAAUAAUCGUGAAUUCAAAGAAUGUUUUAUCAUUUAUUUUAAUGUAAGUGAUCAAGAUUCAAUUGUAAAAGAAACCGCGAUGACUUAAACCCAUCCUAACCUUCAAAGCAAAAAAAUCCUCGCCACACACAAUCCGGGCUUAACUGGACUGCUCGUACAAUCAUCUUAUGAAGACAAUUUACCAGAAUUAUUACAGCAGUUCUGUCUAAAACCUGAACACGGGAGUUCUAUGAACUUCUAUGCUCUUCAUUUUAGCAUAUAAAGCACUAAAGAUCAGGAUCAACUAUGUCAAACGCUCAAAAAGCAUCCUCCAAAACUUCAGCAAGUGUUUACUAGUAAGACAGUAAUAUUAGUAUGCUAAAAGACAAAGUCGUGAUGGCUUUAGGCACCCGUAUGACUUCGUAAUCUACCCAGCAUUCUAAAAAUUAGCAAUAUCAAAAGGAAAGAAGUUCACUUAUUGCAGCUGCUAACCUAGGCCACCAACUCGACAAGAACUUUUUUUUUUCUUUGGCCUCUCCGUCUUUUCUUAUUCUCGUCUAUUUUGCUGGGGAAGAAGAUGAUCACAGAUCUUGCCAAAAGGGUGUGUAAACAUUUUAACAUCAGCUGACCACCAUAUACAAGGACAUGUGACGAGCAAAUCAAGAUACAACUUUCAAGUAAAUCCCAAAUCACUUUGCCCGGUAUAGUGAAUGCAGAUUGUGACAGAGCUCCUUGGGUACCUACCUUAACAAAGCAGUCAUGGAAGUGCACACGAAGUAGCCCGGCAGCUUGGCCAAUGUCCUUCUCAAACACCUUCUUGAGAUGUUUCCUGAUGACGGACUCAACCUUGGGACAGCUUUUCUCGUAGAAGGACCACGAGAGCCCCUUCACUAAGUGAGCAGAGCUCGAGACAUGAACAGGCGACGAAGCUAUCACGAGACAAGAAAUCAAAACGAAAGAGCUGAAGCGGGAGGCCAUGAUGUGAACUGGGUCUGGUCUAAGGUUCUUGCACAAGGUAAGAUCAACCGAGCAAGGGUCCCUACUUAUACAGGCAGGUAGAUUGACUUGAUGCCAAAGCAAUUUUGAGUUUUCUACCUUGCAUGAGGUUCUUGCACAAGGUAAGUUCAAGACUUUCUGGACGGCAUGUGGAGUUGAAAGUUCAACUGACACGUAAACAGAACAAAAGAUAAACGUAAUCUCCCUCCUUUUUGUCAAUUUGAUGAUGAUGAUGAUUGGACGUUGGGACACAGGCGGCACCUCCGAAUAGGAUCUUAUCCGCCAUAUUUUCUUCUGCCCCUUUGACGAGGUACAGCGAUGGCUUACCUUUGGCACGUGGGAUAUGAUGUCUUGACAGAUUCCGACCAGUUCCAUUUCGCACAUGGAGCGGUCUUUGCGCAAAAUUAAGUUUGGAUCGUUUUCGAUAUAGAUUAAAUAAAAUUAUUCCAUUUGAAUGGGAUAGAGUAUGAAAUACAUAAAAUCAAAACUAGACAGAGGAAAAAAGAAAAGUAGAGGGUGGACAGUAAAGAGGAGCCCGACGGAUUACGGAGAAUAAAGCAAGGAAUCACAGGUCGACGGACCAUUGAUGGCAACAAUUGGGGUGGUUAUAUUAUCAGGUUGUCACCACUUAACCACCCCAUGAUCAUUGCAAUGGACAUGCUUUAUAGGUGGCAACCCCAACCACCACAAGAAUGGGGGUCAUUAUCACGGUGUGUAAGAUUAAAAUAGGAUGUUGCCUAUUUCAUCAUGAUAUAUAUUAUGCUACUUAUGUCAGUCUAUAAGAUAGCAUACUAUAUGAUAACUGCAAUGUACAAUAAGUUUACGAAUGAUACAUGGAAUGUAAGAAUACAUGGAUACCUUACACAAUCCCGUAAUAUGCUAUUUGACUAGACAUUUAGAAAAAUCAAAUACAAUAAAUAGAUAAAUAUCAUAUUCUCAUGUUGACUAAAAUUUAAUAAUCAAUUCAACGUUGUUUAUCGUCGCUCGAAAAUCUAAAUUAGAAGAUUGUGUACUCUUUGUAGUCAUUAGGAAAAAUAGGGUUAAGCAUCGAGCCAGUUUAAUAGGGGAACUGAUUGGAACUAACCUUUGUUAGUUUAGUAAAAACUGGUUCAAUUCCCGAUUUGAAAAUCAAGAACCAAUCUAGAUUAGCUUGGUUCCUCGUUCCAAAACUACAAUCGUUGAUUCUACUGAAAAUGGAGGAAAAAUCACAUUCAUUAAGAUUCGAAUCAUGAUCUCCGUUACGAAGAAAUAUAUGAAUAAUUAUCUAAACCAAAAACUUUUUUUUUGUUGCUUAAAAGAUGCAUCCUUAAUGUUUAAUAAUAAUUUCUUAAAUAUUUGCCUUAAAAAAGUAAAGUGACCGGUUCUUGAGAAUCGCCAUACUAAAAUUAAUAAGUUGGCUUCUCAAUUUCGAGAAUACUAUUGAUUCUCGAUUCUGGUCCAGAAGAGAUUUAUUCCAAAUCCACUCACCCCUAUAAAGUCCACAAAUCACGCAGAUCAAUAAUCACCUUGUAUGCAUGGAAUUAUUGGACUGUCGAGACUAGCGGGGUGUUUGAAAAAAUACAAAAAAAAAACUUAUUCUGGCAAAAGUUGGAAACUUUUGAAUUUUAAACAGAGGCAAGAUUCUCGCACAUGCUAAAAGUAGUGAUCAUUAUCAAUUAACAUUCUAACACCUCAAAGGCCUGCAAAAAAAAAAAAAAAAAGCCAAUCCUGGGGGCGUCGCAUUAUUGCAAAAAAUAGAGGUUUGAAGAAAAGUCGUUGCCCUGUGUUAAUUGAAUUUAUAUACCAAAAACGAAUCGUUGCUCAUGAAUCCAUGCGUCAUCCUUCCUCAUAAUUAUUGUUUUCCUUCUUCUAUUUCAUGAAAAAUCAUAAAUAAACUAAAAAAAUAAUUUCCUAAAAAUAAUUACUUAUAUCACUAAAAAAUAUUUGUCAAUGGAAAAUAUGUCAAUAUUGACAAUAAUUUAUGUAUAAAAAAAUUUCAUAGAUGAUGAAAGUUUUUUUUUUCAUUUGUUUUUUUUUUUUUUUAUACCCAGGGAACCCCGACCGCAGCUAGCGGGUAAACCCUGGAGUGACGCUAGCGGAGGAUUCAUCACCCCGACGUCACACUUAAGACCCUAAGCAUCACACUUGAGACCCCAAGCGACCGUGAGAGAAUUCGAACUCCUCCCCUUUGUGAGGGGGAGAGAGCCCAAACCAUCGCGACCAUCAAGGCGGUGGUUUCAUUUGUUCUUUUUAUUAUUUUUAGAAAAAAAUAUGUUUCAAAUCAUUCAUCUUUCACAAAAUAAAUGCAUCUCGUAAAGCGUCUUAGUUUCAUUUUCUUGUUCAUGGAUUUACUUAGCAUACCAUCAUUUUUUUUUUUGACUUAGCAUACCAUCAUUGAUAAUAUAAGAGAAAGCCUUUAAGUUGAUAUAUCAUAUAACCAACCUGCUUGCACCUUAUUACGCGAGUGUGUUCGUCACGCGUACAUACAAUGUUUGAAAUACUUUUACCUGAUUUCUUGUCUCUCUAUUCUUCUAUUGUCGUGAACGGAACAUUAACCAUCUCACGAUCCUUUUCCUACACACGGUACGCCCUCCAUUUUUGAAAAUUAACUUCUGCUGAAAUGGUCUAAGGUCUUAUCUUCUUCUUCCAUAAUUGGUGGCUGUGCAUUUUUCAAUAAACGGGGUAGGCGCUAGAGAACAAGGUGCGAGAUGACUUUCGCUACGCCUUUUUCUCCUUUUUCUGUUUUCUCAGACCGACUUCUUUUUGCCUUUUUCCCUUGCGAUUCGCGUGCUUUCUGCAUUGAAUCUCAUCUUUCUUUCCUUUCUUUAGUCAUAUAUGGAGAAAAAAAUAUGCGAGAAGUCUUAAAUCUAUUAUAUUAAUGCAAAAUUAAUUCUAAAUAUUUUAAUGGUAUCAAUUUAAUCAUAAAUAUUUUAAUCUAGUAUCAAUUCAAUUCUAAUUUUUUUUUUGAUUUAAUGUCAAUUCAAACAUUUCGGAUAAUUUUGGCUAGAUAUUACUAACGUAGAUGUUGACUAUCUUAUGUGGAAUAACAGGUGCUAAUAUGGACAACUAUUGAUAACAUUUUUUUUUUUAACUUUCAUUUAAUAAUUCUUUUCUUUUUCCUAUUUUUCUUUUCUUUCUCUUUCCUUUUUUUUGCCUUCCCUUCCUUCUUCCUCCAACCAAUCACUAGACCUCCGCGACCAGCCAAUAGUGAGGCUCAAGCCUUACUGCCAAUGCAAAAAGGAAAGUGAAACAAAAAAAAUCAAAAUAAAAAAAUCAAAAAUAUUAAAAUACUAUUAAAAGUUGUGUAAGUCAAUACCGGCAUAAGAUAAGUGGUGUUCACGUCAAUAAUAUGAAACCAAAAUUAGUUAAAAAGACUGAAUUGGUAUUAGUUCAAAAAAACUAGGGUAUUUGACCAUGAAAAACCCCAAACUAGUACACAUGUGACAAAUUUACCCCGACUAACUAUAAAAAACCCUAAACUGGUAUAUUUACCCCAAAUUUACCCCAAAUUAAUUUAUUCGACCACAAAAAACCCCAAACUAGUAAAUUUGUGAUUAAUAUACCCUCCGAAAAAUUAGAUUAAUACCACAAAAAAAUCACAAAAAUUAUAAACUAUGACAAACAGAGUGUAAAAUCUCAAAUUGAUAUACCGGUCAAUUGUCACGUGUUAUUUAACUUUAUAAUUUAACAAGAAAAUUUAACUAAAACUAACAAAUGGUAAAUUUGUCAAAGGUAUACCAGUUUGGGGUUUUUGGUGGUCAAAAAAAUAGUUUGGGGUAAAUUUGUCACAAGUGUACCAGUUUGGGGUUUUUCAAGGCAUUAACCCAAAAAACUAUAACUAAAUUAGCAUAAAUAUAAUAUGUUUAAAACUCUUUUCACACUUUUCCCAUCCUAUGUAGAAUAUUGAGGGCAUUUCCGUAAUUUCAUUUGUUAUGAUUUCACCUCUCAUUAGGCUUUUUUUUUUUCUCUCGUUUGGGAAAAGAUCGAUAUUCCAGGGAAAAAUGUGUUUACGACGAAAAUGUGAAGUUAAGGUUAACAACGCCAGCUAAAUGUCAAUGAAUGCGAAUUAGGUCGAUUUUUGGUUUGGUCAGAAAUAACACAAACACGCAAUUGAACGCAUUUGAAAUUAGAUUGUGUUUACAAAUAUGGACGUCAUCCAUUUGCAAAACUUGCCCAAACGUCAAUGGAAGCGAUGCUGGAGUGUGGAAAAACUGCGCAGAGGAGUGUGCAGCUUUUGGGCCCCAAGCCGGAAGUACCAUAAUCGUGCGUCCUUUUCAUUGGAAGUGGCUAGGUCGUAGAUUUGCUGAUACUACAUGGGCGAGCAUGACCUGUCCUUUUUUUCUUUUUUCUUUUUUCAUGACCUGUCCUUGACCUUUCCGAAUGUCUAGACUUCAAGAAGGCCCACGAGAUUUCCAAAUCCAUAGAAGAAGGAAGGCCCACGAGAUUAGCCUCUGUGUUGAUCUCCAGCCUCGUCAUUUCUUUUUGCUCAGAAAAUCAGGUUUUUGAUUCAGGCAUGUCCUUUGUUGACUUAUGGAAUUUCAAGAAUAUUUCAUUUUGGACCAAUGCCAAUAUGGACAAAAGGGUCGGUGUAGAAAGACUUCCCAUGUAAUGGACACAAUGAGCGCAAUGCGCAUCCGCUCUUUAGAUCAUAUGGUUUUUAGGCUCGCAUGCUCUCAAAGCAAAAUCCCUUAAGAAGACCUUAAACCUACUCACCGGAACGGCAAGAUCGAUACCCGGUAAAUGGAGGAUCACAGAGACUGAACAGUUCAUAUUCACACACAAAUUUUGUGGAUGUAGCAAUUAGUCAAGAUGUAAUAACCCUGCCAUUUACUUUUAUCAAAUCAUUCACACAAAAGUGCAGUUCAAGUUUCAUCACGUUACUUGAAUUCAUUUCUCCUAAAUAAAAAUAUAGUUUCGAAGAGAUGGUCGCCAUUCUCCAUCUAAAAGCAUCUCGUCAACAUGGAGCGACGAGAUGACGCAUGGAAACAUUUUUGCAUCAUUGCUUCAACAUAUUAAGUCCGGAUGAGAAGUAGAGAGAUCGAAAUGUUUUCAAGAGAACAUCUUUGUGGGAUUAAUAGGAAUGGGAUUGUCCUAAGUUAAGUAUAUUACAGUCUAAGUGAAAUUCUCGGAGGGAAACUCAAUCUCAGUUUUUCAUUCUGUAAUCAUAGAUGAACCGACCAAGUCAACUCAGCAUCGAUCAUUCUUAUUUCCGAAAUAUUUGAUGAGGAUGUUUUUGGGGAAGCAUAUUGGAGAUGAGAUUGACAUGAUGCAGACCAAGAUGAUACCUGCAUCGACAUGUGAAAAUAGCAAAGAAACUAAACUCUUUGUUUCAAUCAUUCUCAAGAGAGGAGAUGGUUGUUCAGGCAAAUCCGAAUUCCCAACAAAAUUAACUGCGAUCGACACGGUCUUGAAAAACUCUAUCUAGAUACGAUAUCCUGUUGUCUAUCUAGCGUGUAUCAAGUUAUUAACAAUUGCAGAAGCUGCAUCUGCAUGUCAUUGCCUGCUUCAGACCUCGAUCAACUCUACAAAGCUAAUACAUUUUCUCAAUAAGGUCACGAACAGAGUAAACCCUUGUUUAAAACAUGGAUAUUUGAUGUUUUAUAAUAAUUUCUUAAGUUUUUCCCUUUAAAAAGAAAAGUCAUUGAUUCUCGGGAACUGCCAUACUCAAAUUAAUCAGUUCAAUUCUGAAAAUAAUAUUGAUCCUCGAUUCUAGGCCUGGAAUUGAUUUAUUCUAGAUCGACUAGCCUCACAACUGUAAAACCCACGAAUCAUGUAGAUUAAUAGUCACCUCAUAUGUAUAGAAUUAUUUGAUUGUUGAGAUUAGUCCGGUGUUUGAAAGAAUAAAACAAAACUAUUCUUGCAAAAAUUGGAAAUUUAUGUAUUUUCAACCGAAGCAAGAUUCUCGCACAUGCUAAAUUUAGUGAUUAUUGUGAAUUAAUAUUCUAACACCUCAAUCUUACCAAAAAAAAAAAAACAUUCUAACACCUCAAAGGCCCGCGAUAAAAAGCCAAUCCUGGAGGCGUCGCGUUAUUGCAAUAAAAAGAGGUUUGAAGAAAAGUCUUGGCACUGUUUUAAUUAAAUUUAUAUAAAUAAAUAAAAACAAACAGACUGCUGAUCAUCAAUCCAUGCCUUAACCACUGGGAUUCGCCCCAGUGGCCACCCUUCCAAUAUGGAAGGGGGAGGUGAGGGGUUCAAGUGGGGACACGUAAGUUUCAAAAGUGGGUUUCAACUCCCACGCUCUGCAAGAGACAUGGCAAAAGUCUGAGUGUGAGUGUAGAGUAGGAAUAGAGUAUGACUGACAAAAAAAAAAAAAAAUCCAUGCCUCGUGCUCACUCGGAAUUAAUGUUGUCUUCAAUUUUUUUUACAAAAAAUAAAUGAUUUAAUAAAAUAAAUAUUUUUUUUUAGAAAUGAUCACUCGUGGAAAAUGUUUUAUUGUCGAUAACAAUUUAUGUUUGUAAAUUCUCAUGGAGGCUGAAUUUUUUUUUCUCAUUGGUUCCUUUUUUGUAAACAAUACAAAUGAUUAUUUUUAGAAAAAUAUUUUUCAAAUCAUUCAUUUUCUUUAAAAAUAAAAGCAUCUUGUAAAAUAAUAUUAUUGAUAAUAAAAGAGAAACCCUUCAUAGCAACAUAUAAUAUAACCAACCUUCUUCCAUGUUAUUGUGUCUUUGCAACCUAUCAUGUGUGCAUAUGAUGCUCGAAAGACAGGAAAAGUGCUUAAAUGUCCUAAACCUUUUUAUAUUUGUGUCAAUUUAGUCCUAAACUUUUUUUUGUGUCAAUAUAGUCUUAAACAUUUUUACUUAGUGUCAAUUCAGUCAUUUUCAGCUAAUUUUGGCCGAAUUUUGCUAACUAGACAUCAGCUAGCUGACGUGGCCUGAUCGGUGCUAACGUGGACAAAUUAUAAUAAUAUUUUUGAAUUUUUGAAUUUUUUUUCUUUUAUUUUUGUUUUUUCCCUCCCCUCCUCCAGCCGAUCAACCCCGCCGGACCUCGCCAGCCACCUCACCCUCGCCGCCUAGCGCGACAGUGGCUAUGAGGGCGGCCUCACACUAGGUGGCACUGGUGAGGCCGCAAGGGCAACCUAGCGCCAAGUUGGCAAGGUCGAGCCUCGCUGACCAUGGGCGAGGCUCGCCCUUACUAGCGUUGCCCAAGCUGCAAGGGUGACCUAGUGUUGGGUUGGCAAGGUUGAGCCUUGCCGAAUUGCGACCCGGGCAACCUAACGCCGGGCUGGCAAGGGUGAGGUGGCCAGUGAGGUUCGGUGGGCUUGACCUCGUUCGGCGACCGGCUGGAGGAGGGGAGGGAAAAAAUAAAAUAUAAAAAAUAUAAAAAAAUAUUCGAAAAUAUUAAAAUAUAAAAAAUAUUCGAAAAUAUUAAAAUAUUAUUAAAUUUGUCCACGUCAACACCGAUUAGAUCAUGUCAGCCGGCCAACGUCUAGUCAACAAAAUUGGACCAAAAUUGGCCGGAAAUGAUUAAAUCGGCACUAAGUAAAAAUGUUUAGAACUAAAUUGGUACAAAUAUAAAAUGUUUAGGACUUUUUCAGCACUUUUUCCCUCAAAAGACCUUAACCUUUUUUGUUUUUUUUGUUUUUUGGUGAAAGGUAAUUAUAUUAAGCUAAAACCAAUAAUUACAACAAAAACAGCACCUUAACCUUUUUUGUUUGUCUCUCUAUUCUUCAUUUAUCGUGAGUAGAGCAUUAACCUUCUCACGAUCCUUUUCCUAGACGCCAUAAGUAUACCCUUCAGUUUGAAAAUUAACAUCUCAUAAUUAGAAAUCAUGCUUAGACCUCAUAACUUCAAUAUGGUUGUAGGAAACGUUAAUUAUGAGAUUAGGUAAGAUGCAAAGUGUAAUGAAUGAGAAGUUGAGGCUGACUUAUUUCUACACUUUUUCCCCCUUUUCCACCCGUUGCAAAGAUGAGAAAUUAUUAUCAUAGCAAUUGGAUCUAGAACCCCUAAAGGCUUGGGGCAUAAGCUUUAGGUUAGGGUCGUCAGUCGUCGCCAGGACAAUCCCAUUAGUCAAAUUCAAUAUCUGCAACUUCUGCCGAAUGGUCUAAUGUCUUUUCUUCUUCUUCUUUAAUUGGUAGCUCAAAAUUUAGCAUCGGGGGACCUCUUUUCAUCAAUGCGGUACACGCUAGAGAACAAGCUGCGAAAGGACUUUCGCUGUGCCUUUUUCCUUUUUGUUUUCUCACCUUACUUUUCACCUUUUUUGCCUUUCGAUUUCGAUGCUUACCGCGUUCAUCUCAUCUUUCGCUGUGCCUUUUUCCUUUUUGUUUUCUCACCUUACUUUUCACCUUUUUUGCCUUUCGAUUUCGAUGCUUACCGCGUUCAUCUCAUCUUCCCUUCCUUGCUUCAGCCAUAGAGAACAUCAAGGGGCAGCUUUCGCAAAUUCAUUUAUUAUGAUUUAACCAUUCAUUGGGCUUUUUUCUUCAUUUGAGAUAAGAUCAAUACUCAGGAAAAAACAAGUUUACAUUAGGUUGUGAAUGCUUAUUGAGUUGGUGCUUGGUUCAGCCAGUAAUAACAUAAAACAUCCUGUCAAAUGCAUUUGGAAUUAGGUUAUGUUUACAAAUAUAGACAAUAUCCAUUUGCGAACCGACCUAAAAGGUCGAUACCGACAGGCUAUGUCAGCAUAUAUAACUUCGCGUGUCCUUUCCUUGGAAGUGGCUAAAAGUCGUAGGUUGCUGAUAUCUCGUGCGCGAGCAGGACCUGUCCUUGACCUUUUCAUAUGUUUAGAGUUCAAGAAGGCCCAUGAGAUUUCCAAGUCCACGAAAGAAGGAAGGCCCGCGAGAUUAGCCUCGGUAUUGAUCUCCAGCCUCGUCGGUUCUUUUUGCUCAGAAAAUCAGGUUUUGGUUCAGGCAUAUCCUUUGUUGACUUAUGGAAUUUCAAGAAUAUUUCAUUUUGGACCAGUGCCGAUAUGGACAAAAGGAUCCGUAUAGAAAGGUUUCGCAUGUUUUGGGCACGAUGAGCCCAAUGCGCACCCACUCUUUAGAUCGGAUGAGUGCAUCUGAAUUAUGCUCGCAUGCUCUCGAAGCAAAAUCUCUUAAGAAGGCCUUAAAGCCACUUGCCAGGACAGCAAGAUCAGUACCCGGUAAAUGCAGGAUCACAUAGACCGAAGAGCUCAUAUCCACACACAAAUUCCCUGGGUUUAGCGAUUAGUCAAGAUGUAAUAACCCCAUUGACUUUUAUCGAAUCAUUUACACAAAGGCGCGGUUCAAGGUUCGUCCUCAAGUUCAUUUCUUCCAAAUAAGGACAUAAUUUCAAAGAGGUGGUCCCUGCACUCCAUCUGAAAACAGCUCGUCGACACGGAGUGAUGACGCGUCAAAACAUUUUUGCAGCACUGCUUCAACAGAUUCAAGCCCAGAUGAGGAGGGAGAGAGAUCGAAAUGGUUUCGAGAGAACACCUCCCUUGUGGGAUUAAUAGGGACAUGCAUGGAAUUUACCAUAAGUAAAAUACAGUCUAAGUGAAAUUUUCGGUGGGAAACUCAAUCUUAGUUUAUCGUUCUAUAUUCAUAGAUGAACCGACCAAGUUGACUCGGCAUCAAUUCUUCUUGUUUCCCAAAUAUUCGAUGAGCAUGUUACUAGGGAAGCAUAUUGGAGGUGAGAUUGACAUGAUGCAUACCAAAAUGAUCCUUGCAUCGGCAUGCGAAAAUAGCAAAUAAACUUAACUCCCCGUUUCAAUCAUUCUCAAAUAGGAGACCGUCGUUCCAGCUAAUCCGAAUACACAACAGCAUUAACUACGAUCGACAGAGUCUUGAAAUAGCCCAGAAAAUCUAUUUAGAUGCGAUAUCAUAUUAUCGACGGAGUAUGCAAAGCUACAUCUGCAGGUCAUAUCCUGCUUCAGACCUCAAUCAAUUCUAUAAAGCUAUUCACAAAUUCUCAUUAAGGCAACGAAAAGAGUAUACCCUCUACUUGCUACCAGAACUAGACUAUUGACUCACAAGCUUACCCUUGAAUCCCUCCCUUUCCGGGUAAUUUAACUUCGGCAAAGAAACCAUACCUUUGAUGAAUCCCCCUGGUUUUCAUCCGAAUGC
rnacentral:lncRNA from 1 species